rnacentral:rRNA from 1 species
UACGUAGGCAGCGAGCGUUGUUCGGAGUUACUGGGCGUAAAGAGUGCGUAGGCGGUUUUCUAAGUUUGGUGUGAAAUCUCCCGGCUUAACUGGGAGGUGCGCCGAAGACUGGAAGGCUUGAGUAUGGGAGAGGUAAGCGGAAUUCCUGGUGUAGCGGUGGAAAUGACGUAGAUAUCAGGAGGAACACCGGUGGCGAAGGCGGGUCUCUGGGCAGUAACUGACGCUGAGGAG